GUCUAUGGCCAUGCCACCCUGAACAAGCCCUAUCCCGUCUGAUCUCGGAAGCUAAGCAGGGUCGGUCAGGCCUGGUUAGUACUUGGAUGGGAGACCACCUAGGAAGACCAGGUGCUGUAGGCA
rnacentral:rRNA from 1 species